ACAGUCCCGACACAGAGCCAGGUGGGGCCAGGAGGGAACACAAGCCAUCUGCCCUCUUAGACAGAAAACAGUGUGGAGGAGGAGGCCUCAUCCUUUGGAUGGAACUUGCAGCGGCUGGGACAGAGUUGCGGUUUGGGGCAAAUCAAGUUGGGUUGGGGGCUCUGGAAGAAGGUGAGGAGUCUAUGGAGCAUAAAAGCAAGGAGCAGCGGCUGAGGCUCUGGGUGCAGGGUGUGGUUCACGAGGUCACCAAGGAGCCCUGGGACUGAAGCCCCUUUCCCUAGAACCCCGGCUCUACGUCUCGAAGUUCUGGAGACUGCCGCCCCUCCGCACCACGUCACUGCAGGCUCUAGCUGCUCUUCCAGGCUUUCUGCUCCCUCUGCUGGCCGUUCUCACACAUGACACCCGCUCGGAGUCGAAGCAGAAGAGCUGGGGAACUGAAGGAGGAGCCCAGCUGAAGGAGGAGCCCCUCACUAAAGCCCACUUAAAAGCCCAGGAGGUGGAUAUGUGAGCUCUGAGAAACGGAGAGGCAGAGGUUGCUAUGCCCAGCCGUACUGCCUGACAGGGAAGUGCCCUGCCUCUUCAGAUUUGCAUUGCCAUCGUGACCGGAUAUAAGGGAGGGGCAGCAUUUCAGUCUCUGAUUUUUAUGAGAAAGAGGAGGAAGCAUGACAAGGAAAAAGGGCACCCUCUCCCCUUUUUUUCAACCCCAGAGGCAGACCUCCCACAUCCUAGCUCUGCUUCCAAGAACCACCCCCUUGGGUGUGGAAGAAAGUAUAAGCCAGGCGCGGUGGCUCACGCCUAUAAUCUCAUCACUUCGGGAGGCCAAGUCGGGUGGAUCAAGAGGUCAAGAGAUUGAGACCAUCCUGGCCAACAUGUUGAAACCUCGUUUCUACUAAGAAUACAAAAAUUAGUGGGCGCCUGUAAUCCCAGCUGCUCGGGAGGCUGAGGCAGAAGAAUCACUUGAACCCAGGAGACGGAGGUUGCAGUGAGCCAAGAUCGUGUCACUGCACUCCAGCCUGGUGACAGAGCGAGACUCCAUCUCAAAAAAAUAAAAAGAAAAAGAAGAAAGAAAGUAUAAA